AGAGUUUGAUCAUGGCUCAGGACGAACGCUGGCGGCGUGCUUAACACAUGCAAGUCGAACGAUGAAGCUCCAGCUUGCUGGGGUGGAUUAGUGGCGAACGGGUGAGUAAUACGUGAGUAACCUGCCCCCUUCUUCGGGAUAAGCCUUAGAAACGGGGUCUAAUACUGGAUAUUCUGCCCUGGGCCGCAUGUUUGGUGUUGGAAAGGGUUUCUGGGGGGGGAUGGGCUCACGGCCUAUCAGCUUGUUGGUGGGGUGAUGGCCUACCAAGGCGUCGACGGGUAGCCGGCCUGAGAGGGUGACCGGCCACAUUGGGACUGAGAUACGGCCCAGACUCCUACGGGAGGCAGCAGUGGGGAAUAUUGCACAAUGGACGCAAGUCUGAUGCAGCGACGCCGCCGUGGGGGAUGAAGGCUUUCGGGUUGUAAACUCCUUUUAACACUGAACAAGGCGUUUUUGUUGAGGGUAGGUGUU
rnacentral:rRNA from 1 species